rnacentral:tRNA from 1 species
GUACCCGUAGCUCAGUUGCAUAGAGCACAAGCAACCGACGCUUUGUGCCGAUGGUACGAAUCAAUUCGGGUACGCCA